CAAAAAGAGUCGAGCGGACAGAUGGGAGCUUGCUCCCUGAUGUUAGCGGCGGACGGGUGAGUAACACGUGGGUAACCUGCCUGUAAGACUGGGAUAACUCCGGGAAACCGGGGCUAAUACCGGAUGGUUGUUUGAACCGCAUGGUUCAGACAUAAAAGGUGGCUUCGGCUACCACUUACAGAUGGACCCGCGGCGCAUUAGCUAGUUGGUGAGGUAACGGCUCACCAAGGCGACGAUGCGUAGCCGACCUGAGAGGGUGAUCGGCCACACUGGGACUGAGACACGGCCCAGACUCCUACGGGAGGCAGCAGUAGGGAAUCUUCCGCAAUGGACGAAAGUCUGACGGAGCAACGCCGCGUGAGUGAUGAAGGUUUUCGGAUCGUAAAGCUCUGUUGUUAGGGAAGAACAAGUGCCGUUCAAAUAGGGCGGCACCUUGACGGUACCUAACCAGAAAGCCACGGCUAACUACGUGCCAGCAGCCGCGGUAAUACGUAGGUGGCAAGCGUUGUCCGGAAUUAUUGGGCGUAAAGGGCUCGCAGGCGGUUUCUUAAGUCUGAUGUGAAAGCCCCCGGCUCAACCGGGCGAGGGUCAUUGGAAACUGGGGAACUUGAGUGCCCAAGAGGGGAGUGGAACUCCCACGUGUAUUGGUGCAAAUGCGUUAAGAUGUGGGAAGAACACGGAGUUUGCGAACGCGUCUCUCUGGCCAGUUUCUCUACUCCUAAGGAGACAAAUACGGCGCGAAGAGAAACCGUUUUCAAUAGGGGGGUAC
rnacentral:rRNA from 1 species